rnacentral:rRNA from 1 species
GACGGAGGGUGCUAGCGUUGUUCGGAUUCAUUGGGCGUAAAGGGUGCGUAGGCGGCGCGGUAAGUCGGGUGUGAAAUCUCGGAGCUUAACUCCGAAACUGCAUUCGAUACUGCCGUGCUUGAGGACUGGAGAGGAGACUGGAAUUUACGGUGUAGCGGUGAAAUGCGUAGAUAUCGGGAGGAACACCGGUGGCGAAGGCGGUUCUCUGGGCCUUACCUGACGCUGAGGAGCGAAAGCGUGGGGAGCGAACAGG